AGGUAGAAGAAUUGAAGGCCCUGGAUGGUCAGGUGAUUGGGGAGAACUUGGUUUGGAGGCUGACCUCUCUUCACCUGAUAGCUCCUGAGCAACAUGGAUGGCAUUUAACUUCUCUUGGAGCUUCCAGACUCUGGAACAUAUUUGGAUCUCCAUUUGAUCCUGGAGGUUUUUCAGGAGGCAUGAGUAACUGAUCUAGACUUGAAUCAUGGAAACCAGAAGCUGAGGUGUCCUCAAGUGGCCAC
rnacentral:lncRNA from 1 species